AAGGCCUUAGCUUAAUUAAAGCAGCUGCGUUGCAUGCAGAAGAUGUGGGUUGAUGUCCCGUAUGUCUUA
rnacentral:tRNA from 1 species